UUUGGCUGCUAUAAUGCCCUUUAUUGAACUGAUACUGUAACGUACAAAAUACACCCACAUCAAGGGAAUCUGAAUGGCACAGCCGUAAGUUCACACGUAUGCUUUUCUGCCAGAUCAAACAAAGUAUCCAAGUAGAAGUUUAGAUGCAAAGGAUGGACAAGGUCCAGAGGUGAUAAGUGAAAAGAGGUGAAGGAGUGAGAACAAGGAACGUGAGUUUGGAAAAGGAGGAGAGGAGUGGAAGAAAAAGGUAUUUAUUUGCACUACAGAUCUGGGAUGUGUCUUCAGGUCAGCUUCUUUACGUCUGUGGAUAUCCACGUAAACAGGGGUCAUCAGGGAUCAUCUCUCUAUGACCACACUGAAAGCACACAUUUUGAUCACAUCUAUACAGAGGGAGGAUGGCAUUAAUUGUUUUGAAAGAUGCAUACACCUCAGCUCUAGUGGGCAGUGUCUGGCACUGAGGGGCAUAGAGUUUGGUGAAAACAAAGGCCUUAUAAUUUUGGUCGACCCCGCUGAAGACUUCAGGAAGGAACUGAAUAAUGUUACAGUUUUGAUCAAUAAUGCAUUUUUCAAUGCAGGGUGAGUUAUAGCUAUAGAAGACCACACAUUCUUGAUUCUUCAGUGUUUUCAUCAGCCCAUUCUUUCCCCCAACAAGGAGACGAUACUCUGAGUGUGUCAUUUUCCCCUGUUUUCCUGUAGGACGGGCUGCGAUCAACUCAACACUGGUGAAUAAUUGCUCUUUCUCCAAAGCUGGAGGUCUUAUGAAUGUCAUUUUUCCAUCUUGGCAUGUAGUUUUGGGUAGACCGGUUGCCAUGGCAUACUGUACCUGCUUCUGACCGCUAAACAGAAGAGGACAAAGACCAAGAACACAGGAUAAGGGUGGGGCUGAGGUACCAGUACAUAAUGAGACAGAUCUUCCUUCCAUACAGGAUCUCUGUAGCAGACAAUGUCAGAUGAGGACAACUAAAAAGCCUUCUGCCCCAGACCCAGAAGAUUGUGCAGAAGUAGUAAUAGUUGUAGUGGUAAUAAUAGUGUUUGUGAUAGUGGUACUAGUUGUAGUGGUGGUAGAAAUAGUAGUAGUUGUAGUAGAGUAGAGGUAGUAGUGGUAGUAGUAAUUGUAGCAGUAAUAGUGGUGGUAGUAAUAGUGGUGGUGGUAGUAUUAAUAGUAGUAGUAGUAGUAGGAAUAAUAGUGGUAUUAGUGGUGGUAGUAGUAGUAGUGGUAGUAAUAGUAGUAGUUGUAGUAGUAUUAAUAGAGGUAUUAGUGGUGGUGGUAGUAG
ensembl:lncRNA